ACUUUUACAUAAGCUUUGUAUGGCCCCGUGAGAGGUGAAUUCUUGGUGGGGAGCUUCCCGGAAACGAAAGUCUUCCGGCUGGGAAAGUAUGGUUGCAAAGCUGAAACUUAAAGGAAUUGAAAGGAAUAAGCCCGUCGCUGCCCGGGACUGAGCCAUUUCGAGAAAUUUGGGGACCGUUGAUUUAAUUUUUCUAAAUUACUCCGUAAGAAACCAAUUUAAUCGCAGUGGCUUGAACCCGGGGGAAGUGGGUGUCUUCAAACUGAAACUCUUUUGAUUCUUUGCUAUCUGUCAACGGGGGGGGGGAGGCCUGCGGAUUAU
rnacentral:rRNA from 1 species